UACGUAGGUGGCAAGCGUUACUCGGAAUCACUAGGCGUAAAGCGCAGGUAGGAGGUUUGGUAAGUCUGUUGUGAAAGCUCCCGGCUUAACUGGGAGAGGUCAACGGAAACUACUAGGCUAGAGUGCGGUAGAGGUAGCUGGAAUUCCCGGUGUAGCGGUGAAAUGCGUAGAUAUCGGGAGGAAUACCUAUGGCGAAAGCAGGCUACUGGACCGUCACUGACGCUGAGCUGCGAAAGCUAGGGGAGCAAACAGG
rnacentral:rRNA from 1 species